rnacentral:rRNA from 1 species
AUGUCAUGUUUCCGUCUACCAAAGAGUUUAUGUGACAAUAUAUCUUCCAUCAUUAGGCAGUUUUGGUGGGGGAGUAAGCAAGGCAAGCGAAAACCGAGUUGGGUUGCCUGGGAUACUAUGACACAACCAAAACACUUGGGAGGAUUUGGAUUCCGUGAUUUGAAAAUCUUCAACUUAGCUCUACUUGCGAGGCAAGCAUGGAGAAUAAUGAAUGACGAAAAUUCUCUUAGUGCUCAAAUUCUGAAAGCUGUUUACUUUCCACACAAUACACUUUACAAAGCAGAACUGGGGCCUCACCCCUCUCAGAUUUGGCGGGCGGUAUUAGAUGGAAAGGAGAUAUUAGCUUAGGGUAUUGUGAGGAGAAUCGGUGAUGGGGAAAGCACGGACAUAUGGUCAGACAAUUGGAUCCCU